rnacentral:rRNA from 1 species
GGACAGAAAGACCCUAUGAAGCUUUACUGUAGUUUGGAAUUGGGUUCGGGCUCUUCUUGCGCAGCCUAGGUGGGAGGCUAUGAAGAUAAACUUUUGGGUUUAUUGGAGCCAACAGUGAGAGACCACUCUAGAGGAGCUAGAAUUCUAAUGGCGUUCCUUGAAGCAGGACGCUUGACAGUUUCAGAUGGGCAGUUUGACUGGGGCGGUCACCUCCUAAAAGGUAACGGAGGUGUGCAAAGGUUCCCUCAGGCUGGACGGAAAUCAGCCGUAGAGUGUAAAGGCAGAAGGGAGCUUGACUGCAAGACCUACAAGUCGAGCAGGGGCGAAAGCCGGCCUUAGUGAUCCGACGAUUCCGAGUGGAAGGGCCGUCGCUAAACGGAUAAAAGUUACUCUAGGGAUAACAGGCUGA